rnacentral:rRNA from 1 species
AGAGUUUGAUCCUGGCUCAGGAUGAACGCUAGCUACAGGCUUAACACAUGCAAGUCGAGGGGAAACGACAUCGAAAGCUUGCUUUUGAUGGGCGUCGACCGGCGCACGGGUGAGUAACGCGUAUCCAACCUGCCCACCACUUGGGGAUAACCUUGCGAAAGUAAGACUAAUACCCAAUGAUAUCUCUAGAAGACAUCUGAAAGAGAUUAAAGAUUUAUCGGUGAUGGAUGGGGAUGCGUCUGAUUAGCUUGUUGGCGGGGUAACGGCCCACCAAGGCAACGAUCAGUAGGGGUUCUGAGAGGAAGGUCCCCCACAUUGGAACUGAGACACGGUCCAAACUCCUACGGGAGGCAGCAGUGAGGAAUAUUGGUCAAUGGACGAGAGUCUGAACCAGCCAAGUAGCGUGCAGGAAGACGGCCCUAUGGGUUGUAAACUGCUUUUAUAAGGGAAUAAAGUGAGAGUCGUGACUCUUUUUGCAUGUACCUUAUGAAUAAGGACCGGCUAAUUCCGUGCCAGCAGCCGCGGUAAUACGGAAGGUCCGGGCGUUAUCCGGAUUUAUUGGGUUUAAAGGGAGCGUAGGCCGGAGAUUAAGCGUGUUGUGAAAUGUAGAUGCUCAACAUCUGAACUGCAGCGCGAACUGGUUUCCUUGAGUACGCACAAAGUGGGCGGAAUUCGUGGUGUAGCGGUGAAAUGCUUAGAUAUCACGAAGAACUCCGAUUGCGAAGGCAGCUCACUGGAGCGCAACUGACGCUGAAGCUCGAAAGUGCGGGUAUCGAACAGGAUUAGAUACCCUGGUAGUCCGCACGGUAAACGAUGGAUGCCCGCUGUUGGUCUGAAUAGGUCAGCGGCCAAGCGAAAGCAUUAAGCAUCCCACCUGGGGAGUACGCCGGCAACGGUGAAACUCAAAGGAAUUGACGGGGGCCCGCACAAGCGGAGGAACAUGUGGUUUAA